ensembl:lncRNA
GUGAGGUUUUCCACUCUCACAUACUCCAAGUAAAAAGUGGAAUAAAAGUGUUAAAAUGAAGAGAAUGAUUCCCUGCCGACAUUGUCCUCCACAAGUGGUUAAAAGAGAAUUUGCCGGUGGAUGAAUCCUGAACGCGGAGCGAAUGUAAAUGAGGGGGAGUUUCCUUCUGCUCUGCACCGGCCUCGUUCCAGAGAUCUCAUCAGAUGUAGAGGAGUACGUCCAGCAUGGAGGUGAGGAGGCUGCAGAGGCAUGACAGCGGUCAGGUCAGUGCCGUGACUCAUCCAGGAAGUGAACCGGAUUCGACCGCCUGGCCUCCAG